rnacentral:rRNA from 1 species
UACGAAGGGGGCGAGCGUUGUUCGGAUUUACUGGGCGUAAAGGGCGCGCAGGCGGCUAGUUUUGUCGAGUGUGAAAGCCCCGGGCUUAACCUGGGAACUGCGCUCGAAACGGGCUGGCUAGAGAUCGGGAGAGGAGAGUGGAAUUCCCAGUGUAGAGGUGAAAUUCGUAGAUAUUGGGAAGAACACCGGUGGCGAAGGCGGCUCUCUGGACCGAUACUGACGCUGAGGCGCGAAAGCGUGGGGAGCGAACGGG